CCUCUUAACCUGGCCGGAUCCCACCUCCUGUCUUUUCUGUUUGUCCCGGGUGAGAGGACGGAACAGGCAAGGAAAAAGACUCCCCCGACCCGAGGAAAGCACAGCCUGGCCGCCCACAGCACACCCCCUCCCCACGCAGACAGUGAGGUCACAGGACCCCGAGUUUGUGACCCGGCUGACAGCACCAGCGUGUGGCAGCGGCUGCUGCUCUUUGAGGAGUGCAGGACCCCGGGAUGGCCCGAGACAGGGGGACAGGGCAGGGACGGCCCUCCUCACCCUUGGGCCCUGUGUGAGUCCCCUGCAGCUGCUGUGACAGAGGACUACAGAGAGGGCGGCUGCAAGCGUCACUCCUUGGCUUGAUUUCCUCACCGCCUGGAGAUGUGAAUCAGAAACCCCCGUCCCCCCGGGCCGUGCGCCUUCCGGCCUCUUCUAGAUUCCGGGGUCUCCAGAAUCUGCCGUGGGGCACCUCACCCCCUCUUCGGGGUCUCAAGUCUUUCUGCCUCCCUCCCUUUUAAGGACACUUGCGACCGCACCACAUUCACAGUCCGUGACUUAAUCACACGUGGCCCUUUCCCAAGUAAGGAGCCUGGGGCCUGAGACCUCCCACCGCCCUGCAACAUGCCCGCGGCUCUCCGGGACAGGAACGGGACAACGCCUAACCCAGGAAAGACACCGUCUCAGGUGCACAGGAAGCAGAGCUGAGCAGAGGUCACGGAUAAGUGGUUGCAGAGAGAACACUCAAGACAAGCGCGGUGAGAGCCACCCGGGGGGGCCCCGGGGAGCCGGGCACCCUCCCCAGACAGUGCCGAGAGAGGGGACAAGAGCUCCUGAACCGCUUGGUUUUGCUCCCCGGGAUUUCCUUUUGUUUCUUUGCUCAACAGCCACCACUGAGCCUGUAAUCCCAGCACACAGGAGGCUGAGACAGGCUGGGCUGCAAGGCGAGACCCUGUCUCCAACAAGCAACAAAGCCGUGAUUGCUGCUACUUAGAGGAAAUAAAGACCUGGAAAUGCCUUUAGAAGGAAAGAAAACUCCGCGCUAGACGGAGGCCCGACCCUGUGCCCAGCGGCCGCUGCGUCGGGCCCCCUCGCGGGGUUGAGUGGGCACCGGGGCCAGAGGAAGGGGCCAGAGAAGGUGUCCUCCUCCCAGCCACGCCUUUCCCAGAAAGAGAACUCAGACACCGGGGGCCUCGAGCUUGCCAAAGACCCCUGGGCCCCUCCCCACACAGACACGUAUACCCUGGGGCCAUCGGGCUCUCUGAGGCCCAGGGGCUGCGACCCCUGGCCCCUGACUGGGCCGCUUAGCAGCUGCCCAAAUACAUCCACGUCAGA